GUGAAUCAUCGAAUCUUUGAACGCAAAUUGCACUCUUUUCGGAGAGUAUGCCUGUUUGAGGGUCAGUAUUAAUAAAAUCGGUGUUGCUUUUUUGUGACGUUCCGGAGAUUGGGCUACCUUUAACUUUCGGGUUUAAGAGGCUUAAAAUUGAUCUUUUUUGCGCACUUUUAGACGUACAUAAAUUUUUUUAUGUCUUAUUUUGUGGCCAAUUUAUUUAUUGGGUGUGAU
rnacentral:misc_RNA from 1 species